rnacentral:rRNA from 1 species
AUUCAGCGGCGGACGGGUGAGUAACGCGUGAGCAACCUGCCUUCAACAGGGGGAUAACGCAUCGAAAGAUGUGCUAAUACCGCAUGAGACCACAACAUCACAUGGGUGAAGGGGUCAAAGGAGCAAUCCGGUUGAAGAUGGGCUCGCGUCCGAUUAGCUGGUUGGUGAGACAACAGGCCCACCAAGGCGACGAUCGGUAGCCGACCUGAGAGGGUGAUCGGCCACAUUGGAACUGAGAUACGGUCCAGACUCCUACGGGAGGCAGCAGUGGGGAAUAUUGGGCAAUGGGCGAAAGCCCUGACCCAGCAACGCCGCGUGAGGGAAGAAGGGUUUCGGCUCGUAAACCUCUGUCCUGUGGGACGUAAGGAAGUGACGGUACCACAGGAGGAAGCCCCGGCUAACUACGUGCCAGCAGCCGC